UGGGGAAUAUUGGACAAUGGGGGGAACCCUGAUCCAGCCAUGCCGCGUGUGUGAAGAAGGCCUUAUGGUUGUAAAGCACUUUAAGCGAGGAGGAGGGUACUGGUAUUAAUACUACCAGGUACUGGACGUUACUCGCAGAAUAAGCACCGGCUAACUCUGUGCCAGCAGCCGCGGUAAUACAGAGGGUGCGAGCGUUAAUCGGAUUUACUGGGCGUAAAGCGUGCGUAGGCGGCUAAUUGAGUCGGAUGUGAAAUCCCCGAGCUUAACUUGGGAAUUGCAUUCGAUACUGGUUAGCUAGAGUGUGGGAGAGGAUGGUAGAAUUCCAGGUGUAGCGGUGAAAUGCGUAGAGAUCUGGAGGAAUACCGAUGGCGAAGUCAGCCAUCUGGCCUAACACUGACGCUGAGGUACGAAGGCAUGGGGAGCAAACAGG
rnacentral:rRNA from 1 species